GGAGAGGUGCCGGAGUGGCCGAACGGGCGGCACUGGAAAUGCCGUAUGCGCGUGAGCGUAUCGAGGGUUCGAAUCCCUCCCUCUCCGCCC
rnacentral:tRNA from 3 species